rnacentral:rRNA from 1 species
AACGUAGGAGCCAAGCGUUAUCCGAAUUCACUGGGCGUAAAGCGCAUGUAGGCGGCGGAGUAAGUUGGCUGUAAAAGCUCCUGGCUCAACUGGGAGAAGCCGGUCAAAACUACUCGGCUAGAGGACGGUAGAGGAAGGCGGAAUUCCGGGUGUAGUGGUGAAAUGCGUAGAUAUCCGGAGGAACACCUGUGGCGAAGGCGGCUUUCUGGGCCGUACCUGACGCUGAGAUGCGAAAGCUAGGGGAGCGAACGGG